UACGUAGGUGGCAAGCGUUGUCCGGAUUUAUUGGGUUUAAAGGGUGCGUAGGCGGUUGUAUAAGUCAGUGCUGAAAUAUCCCGGCUUAACCGGGAGGGUGGCAUUGAUACUGUAUGACUUGAGUAAAGUUGAGGUUGGCGGAAUUGACGGUGUAGCGGUGAAAUGCUUAGAUAUCGUCAAGAACACCGAUUGCGAAGGCAGCUAACUAAGCUUUAACUGACGCUGAGGCACGAAAGUGUGGGGAUCAAACAGG
rnacentral:rRNA from 1 species